UGAGAUGUUGUAAACCGAGUAAACCGAGAGAAAGAAGAAGAAAGGCAUCAGGCGCCAGCGGCAAACAACCUUGGGACUCAACGCAGUCAAUUCCGCUGUUGCGCAUCGAUUGG